rnacentral:ncRNA from 1 species
CGCCAUCAUUAGGGGUGCCUUGUAUUGCUAAAAUGAUAAGCAUGCACAAAUACAGGCUGAGAUUAAACCCAUUAGAAAGAUAAAAAGGUAAAACCUCUCGUCUUUCUAAACACCUGAUCCGGAUAAUGCCGGCGUAGGGAAUAGGUAAAACAAUAAU